rnacentral:rRNA from 1 species
CAAUAGCGUAUAUUAAAGUUGUUGCAGUUAAAAAGCUCGUAGUUGGAGUUCAGAGUGAGCUCGUCCGGUCGGCCUUAUGGGUCAGAACUGGUUGACUCUCUCUUGUUUGUGGAUCCUGUCAGCAGUUAACUCUGUUGAUGUGGAGUCCACAUCGUUUACCUUGAAAAAAUUAGAGUGUUCAAAGCAGGCAAUCGCUUGAAUACAUUAGCAUGGAAUAAUAGAAUAGGACUUUGGUUCUAUUUUGUUGGUUUCUAGGACCGAAGUAAUGAUUAAUAGGGACAGUUGGGGGCACUCGUAUUCCGUCGAGAGAGGUGAAAUUCUCAGACCAACGGAAGACGAACCACUGCGAAAGCAUUUGCCAGGGAUGUUUUUCACUGAUCAAGAACGAAAGUUAGGGGAUCGAAGAUGAUCAGAU